rnacentral:rRNA from 1 species
GGCAACGGCCAUACCACGUUGAAAACCCGGUUCUCGUCUGAUCACCGAAGUUAAGCAACGUUGGGUUUGGUUAGUACUUGGAUGGGUGACCGCCUGGGAAUACCAAAUGCUGUUGUCU